rnacentral:rRNA from 1 species
GAUAAACGCUGGCGGCGUGCCUAACACAUGCAAGUCGCACGUCCUGUCUUUUUUCGGAAAGAGAGGGAGUGGCGGACGGGUGAGUAACACAUGGGUACCUGCCUCAAAGUGAGGAAUACCCUCGGGAAACCGGGGACAAGACCGCAUAGCCUCAGCGAUGAGGAAAGCUCUUUUCGGAGGGCGCUUUGAGAGGGGCCUGUGGCCGAUUAGCUGGCUGGUGGGGUAAGGGCCUACCAGGGCGACGAUCGGUAGCUGGUCUGAGAGGACGAGCAGCCAC